rnacentral:lncRNA from 1 species
AUGAUGGCAAGAAAACGGAGAAGAAACACGCGAGUGAAGAGCAAGGAGAGGAGGACAAAGAGCGCAAACCUUGCCGUAAGGCCUACGUCCACAAGCCCUUCCUGUACUCCCGUUACUACAGCGACUCGGACGAUGAGGUCACCGUGGAGGAGCGCCGCAGAUCAGUGGCGAAAGACAAGGAAGAGAGGCUGUUGAAGAGGCAGCAGAACAGAGAGCGGCUGGAGGAGAAGCUGAAACAGAAGGCAGCACAGGCUGAACAACAAGAUCGCAAAAAACAAAAGAGCACAGACUCAGCUGGACUGGAGGGUCCCAAAGCCAAAGAGGCCCGUAAGGAAAGGAAGGUCCUCGAGAAGAAGAUGGCUCUGAACCGGAAGAGGAAGCUAGACUCCAGGAAAGAGGGAGAUGCUUCCAGCAAGAAGAAGGGCGAUGCAGGAGACGCAUCUAAGAGAGCGGAAAUUAAGCCGUCGAUAUCGAAGACCCCACAACCUAAAUUUGCAAGGAACCUGUCAGAAUCAGCGGCGUGUGACGAGAGGCACCGACGAAUGAGCGCCACCAUUUCUGAAGAAUCCGACGACGGCAAGAAGCCGACGGAGAAGGCCGUCACACACGCUUUUAUCCUGGAAUUGGAACAAGGAUCCCAAGAGGCCCUAAAGCAGCGCUCAUUUGGGAAAUUCGACCGUCCGUCUCGCAAAGAGCUUCAUUUGAAGGAGCGCAAAGACAAGGAGCGCAGCCUGUCGGAUGAUCGCGUCAAGCCCAAGCAGAAGCAGGAGAGGAAAUCUGAACAGCAGGUGGAGGAAUCUCAGCACAGGGAAGGCGCCGCUGCUAAAGGGUCGUCUGAAGAGAGAGCCGAAAAGAAACUCAAGACCAAAAGUGAGAAAAAACUGGCAGCAGCAAAUCCAAAAGAUGGGAAGGUGGCUGAAGGUGGGGUUGAGGACGGAGGCCUUAAAGAUGCCAAGAAGUCCAAAGUAUUUGUGGAGACUGUGAAAGUCGAGAAAGAAAAAAGAGAAAAAGAUAAGAACAAAGAAAAGGAAAAGGCCAAAGGGGAGAAAUCUUUGGUUAAAAGUGAGUUUAAGCAGCUACUUUGUCCAGAUUCUGCAGGCUCCUCUGAGGAUUUGGAGACGGGUCCAGACGGCACCAAAAAGAAAGACAAACACUCCAAGGAGCUGUUGAAAAAGUCUAAGAGCCACACUGAACCCGGAGAAAGACCAAUACUGAAAACGGAGAGCGAGAAGGAAAAGGCUAAAACUGACCAAGACAGCCAGAGGCCACAAAAGCCGAGCUCCGAAGCUGAUCCCAAAAAGAUCAAGUCUGCAGAAAAAGGAAAGAUCCUAGAAAAAUCCAAGACUAAGUCUAAAGAGGAGACAAAGAUUCCAGUCACACCUAUAACAGACAAGAAAACUCCAAGUCUAGACGUCCGAAAUCCAGGGGUUCCAUCUGUGAGCAAACUGGAAGCAAAAAAAGACAAGAAAAAAGACGGAAAUGCAAAAGAUCAGCUGAAAGUAUCAGUCGAGGCUCCAAACGAGAAGUCGGGCCUUAAGACUGGAAAGAAAAAGGCUGUGAAAAAGGAAAAUAUUCCAGAGAAGAAAGAUGAAGACAAGGUGCAUCUCCCAGAGGGUAAAUCAGAGAGGUUUGACAAAUCCUCCAAGGCUUUACUUUUCACUCUGGCUUCUGCAGCAGAAGACCCUCCAAAGAACCAGCUUCUUCAUCAAGACAUGAGCGCAGAGUCUGCCACCUCUGCUGGUGACGCACAGCAUUCUGAUGGCGGCUUAGAAGACGACCCCCCUGAGCCGUCUGAAGACAACGCAGAGCCGCGGCUCGAGAGGCCACGGCUGCCGGCUGAGGCCGACGCCCUCCUGACGCUUAUGGAUGUCUGCGCCUCCGCAGAGGCCAGACUCCCAUCCCACAACCCGGAGGAGGAAGAGGCACCUGAGGCGGAGCUGCAGGAUGCCGACAUGAAGAUGAAAGAGGCCGCGCUGACACUGCUGUCCAUGGAUCCUGACAGCACGCUGUCCUCCAGCCUCGUCUGCCAGGGCGCCAAGAAGGAAGAGGAAGAAGAACCGGCGAGCCCGACAGUCCUGCAGCCACCGGAAACUUCUGCAGCGGAAGAGGAGCGGCUUCACGCGUCACAGGGGCAAGCAACUCCGGACACCGACCUGACCGUCCCCGAAACGUCCACUGCACCUCUGCAAACCGAGGAAAGCACAAACACUGCAGAUGAGUGUGAAGACUCUGAGAGACAAGCGGACGCAGCCGGGCACGAAACGUCCGACAUGGAUGCUGCACAGCAGGAGGAUCCUUCUAUUCCAACGUCUUCAAGAGACAAACAGGAAGACGAUGCUGACAUUCCUGCUGAUUCACAGCCAGAUGAGAAGGAAGCAGGCGACGAGGAGAUUGCAGAUGUUGCUUCAGAGGAAGCAGAGGAGAUCAGAGCCAGCCCUGGACAAGAGAUGGAGGAUGCUGUGCCAAAAGACGUUGGGAAAGUUUGUGAGACUGGCAGUGAGUUCAGAAAUAAGUCUUUCUAG